rnacentral:rRNA from 1 species
CCUGAGAAACCCAAAAGAUCGAAUGGGGAGAUUCAUCGUCAGCGAGUCCCGCGCUGGUACGGUUCGCGAUGUCGGGGGGACCUCGGUCCCCGCGGCACGCGUCCGUAUGUUUUUUUGCGGGGCUUCGUCGUCGUGCACUUCUCCCCUAGUAGGACGUCGCGACCCGUUGGGUGUCGGUCUACGGCCCGGGUGGUCGCCUGUCUCGCGUCUUGCUCCUAACCGGGUAACCGCGUUGCAGACCCCCGGUCGCCCGACCAGCUGCUCGGCGGUAUUCGCACGGUAUCGAGUCGCAGUCAUUUGAACUGCGUCCGGGCCGCCGCAAGCUUGACCAGUGAAUUUCCCGGAUGUUUACGGACCUCGCGCCGUCACCGGGCCUGGUUGGCUGUUGGUUGGCGGUCUCCUCGGACUGGCUCUUCGAACGAAAAAUUAUGAUACCGGUCGGCGACGCUACUGCUUUGGGUACUUUCAGGACCCGUCUUGAAACACGGACCAAGGAGUCUAACAUGUGCGCGAGUCAUUGGGAACUCUGAUAAGCCUAAAGGCGCAAUGAAAGUGAAGGUCGGCCUCGCGCCGACCGAGGGAGGAUGGGCCGCGUCACGAUGCGGUCCCGCACUCCCGGGGCGUCUCGUUCUCAUUGCGAGAAGAGGCGCACCCAGAGCGUACACGUUGGGACCCGAAAGAUGGU